rnacentral:lncRNA from 1 species
CUUCUCUCCGCAGGCGGAGUGUCUCUGCCAGCUGGGUGUGCUGAUGGGUCGCAACCUGGUGUACUGCGCACCUACAAGCGGCGGCAAGUCCAUGGUGGCGGAGAUGCUGGGGCUCAGGCGCCUGCUUACCACAGGUGGGGGGAGGUGAGGGGAGGGGCGGGGUGUCAGGGGCGGUGGGAUGUCAAGAAUGGGGAGGGGAGAGGAGGGGAGCGUGACCCAAACAAUGAGGAGGGGUGCUGUUGUUGGACCCAAUUGUUCUCUGGGAGGUCUUAGGAAGGCCCCCACCAUGACUCACCAAAUCUACUGCUCCCUAUAGGGUUAGGGGUUAGGGGGCCAACUGGUAAGGGCGACGGCGAGCCAAGCGGUCGACCUUGUGGUGUUUAUUUGCCUUCACGGCAACUGAAGACAAAUCCCACCCCACCCUAACCCCCCUCCUCCAUCUAGUCCUGGAGUACCCGUCUAUUUCUGUGGUAUGAGCAAUACUCGUCUGUGGUUCAGCCACCCACCCACCCGCCCACCCACCCCACCCUUCCCCACCCACCCACAUCCCGGUAUCUGCUCAUUCUAAGGUGGUAAAUGUCCGUGAUCUGCGAGGGGGUUGGGAGCCUUCUUUAACCUGCUAUAUCUACCUUCCCUGCCCUCCCGCCCGGCCCCCCUCCUCCUUCAGCUGCACCCCCUCGCGGUUCGUCUUUCCCCCCGCCCCCUCCUCCUCCCCAAUCCCCGUGUCAGGGAAGCCCUUCCUGUUGGUGCUGCCCUUCGUGGCGCUGUGUGCGGAGAAGGCGGAGGCGCUGGGGGCCCUGCUGGCGCCCUUGGGCAGGGGGGUCAACUGCGCGUACGGCGGUCAGCAGAACGGCAAGAUCAUACAGCCCGGAGUGGGUGAGUGGCGGGGUAAUGGGCAGUGAAGCGCAGCUACACAGCGCAGCUACACAGCACAGCGCAACAGUCGCCAGCCGCUCCGGGAAAGGGUUUCUCGUAAUAGCUUAUAGCCAUGCAGCAUGCCAGACCGCGCCUCGCAACAUCCUUCUUUCCCCCAACAUACCGCUUUCAUCCUAACUGCUUGCUGUUCCCCCCUCGCUGACACCCCGGUUAUCAUUAUCAGUAUUCCUGUCCUUACGCUUAUUCUUCAUUUUAUUAUUGUUGUUAUUCUCUCUUGGAAAUCUGGGAGCCCAGGCACGUCGCGCUGAGGCGCUUCGCCCUGAAGCGAACGAGGGAGGACGAUGAUGGCAAUACCAAUACAACGUCCAUGGCCCCCCCGGCUUUUACGGACACACAGCCGUACUUGUGUGCGGAACUUGUAACUUGUAACUUAGGGUUCUUAUCCUUGUUCGCAUUAUCGUUAUCCUUAUUGAUUAAUCAGAUUCGCAAAAUUCCUCCUCCUCCCCGUCAACCGCCCUCCAGGCGCAAUCGUGGCCACCAUAGAGAAGGCCAACAUGCUCGUGAACAUCAUGUUGGAGGAGGACACGUUGGGGGAGCUGUCGGCGGUGAUAGUGGAUGAGCUGCAUAUGGUGAGGGGCGUGGGGAGAAUGCGGGUAGAGAAGAAGGAGGAGGAGGGGGGGUGCGGGUAGGGAUGGCGAGGGAAGGAGGACGAUGAUGAUGGCGGCGAGGGGGCCAGGGAGGAAAGGGUUUUGAUUUAAGAAACGGUGAUCAUGAUGAUGCGGCGAGGGGAGCGGGUUUAGGGUUUUCCUGUCCUUUAAGAGGAAACGGUCUUAAACGGGCUUUCUUCUAGGAGGGGUUGUGAAUGAGGACUGGCAGGAAAUGGUUUCGGAGCUGGCCCAAACUGAAGAGAAGGACUUGGGCGGGGUGGCUUAUCAUGAACCGUUCUGUUACUAGUGUCCGUCUGUCUGUCCGUCCGUCCGUCCGCCCACCUGGCUGGCCCCACCACUACGAUAGAACUGCUAUUGCGGGUCCCUGCCUGUUGUCAUGUUGUUGUUGUGCUGUCCUAGGUGGGUGAGGAGGAGCGCGGCUACCUCCUGGAGUUGCUGCUGACCAAGCUGCGGUUCGCCACCUCGGCGUCUGCGGGGGAAGGUGGUGGUGGUGGUGGCGGUGGUGGUGAGGCGGAGGAGGUGCCCUUCGACUGGACCGCCGUAGGGCCGUCGUACCUGCGUGAGGGGCUGCAGGUAGGGGGGUUGGAGACGUGGAGGGGGGGACGAGGUGGGGUGGGGGGUGGGGUGGGGUUGGGCCUUGGGGGCCGGGAAGUUGCCGGAAUCAUCACCCUCUUCCUUUCCCCCCUCUCACCGCCGACUGGUUAGGUAUGCUUUCUUUACGUCUGCCUCAGCAGUCUUUCCUGGCAUCAGCUUCACUCGCUCGUGGUUCGUCUUUUCCCCCUUUACACAUACACACACACGCUGUGCAGGUUAUCGGCAUGAGCGCCACCAUGCCCAAUGUGGACGUGGUGGCCACGUGGCUGGAUGCCGCAUUGUACUGCACCACUUUCCGACCCGUACAGCUGCAGGAGUACGUCAAGGUGGGUCGGCGGGGGAGGAGAGGACGGCGGAGCAGGAGCGGGGGGGGGGUGACACAGGAAAAUAUAAUGUAUGUAUUGUAUAUACACAUAUGUACACCUAGAUAUACACACGUCUUUACACACAUAGGUAAUGUGUGUGCAUAUAAGUACAUGUAUGUAUAUAUAUACAUAUAUGCAUAUAUAUAGAGAGAGAAAGAGAGGGGGAGAGGGAGAGAGACACACACACGCAAGAGGGCAGUUGUAACACUGCUUACAAAACUAGUGGUACAUUGGCGGCGACUGAUCGACACCGAUCAGCACCGAUCGCCGUUGCAGUGCAGGGCCCUCGCCCACAUGUUUAAUUUGUGAACUCCGCCACAUUCUUCGUUUAUGGUCCUGUCGUGCUGUACAACGACGUUAUUACUGCAGCUGGGCGCGAGGAAAAUGGUGAAGACUGGAUAGAAGCGAGAGGGAGAAGGAGGGAGGGGAAAAGACGAACCACGAGCGAGUGAAGCUGAUGCCAAGGAAAAACUGCUAAGGGAAAGGGGGAGGCUGGGGUAGAUAGGCAAGAGGUGGUUUCGCGGGCGUGUAAGGAACUCCUCCGUCCCUCCCUCCCUCCUUCACCUCUUGGUCAGUUCUACUCCUGGUACACUCUUGCCCUGGCAGCAGCCUCACUCGUUCGUGGUUCGUCUUUCCCACCCUCCCUCCCUCCCUCCUUCCCUCCUUCCUCACUUUUGCAUACGAGUCCCCCCACUCGCCCUUUCCAUUAACCCGCGCAGGUGGGUCGCCGCAUCCUGGACUCCAGCGGCGGCCUCAUCCGCGAGCUGGUCCCGGAUAAGGCCUGGGAGGACCGGGAUGCCGACCACGUGGCCCUGCUGACCGCGGAGACAGUGAGGGAGGGACACUCGGUGCUCAUCUUCUGUGCAUCCAAGGUAGGUGGUUGGGUGGGUGGUCAGUUGGGUAGGUGCUAUGUCUUGGUUGGUAGUCCCAUCAACUUACAUGGGUAACACGUGGCUUCCUUUACCGUUACCCUACCCUCUUACCCUACCCUUACCCUACCCUUACCCUACCCUUACCCUACCCUUACCCUACCCUCUUACCCUACCCUUACCCUACCCUUACCCUACCCUUACCCUACCCUUACCCUACCCUUACCCUACCCUUACCCUACCCUUACCCUACCCUUACCCUACCCUUACCCUACCCUUACCCUACCCUUACCCUACCCUUACCCUACCCUUACCCUACCCUUACCCUACCCUUACCCUACCCUUACCCUACCCUCUUACCCUACCCUUACCCUACCCUCUUACCCUACCCUUACCCUUCCCUCUUACCCUACCCUUACCCUACCCUUACCCUACCCUUACCCUACCCUUACCCUACCCUUACCCUACCCUUACCCUACCCUUACCCUACCCUUACCCUACCCUUACCCUACCCUUACCCUACCCUUACCCUACCCUUACCCUACCCUUACCCUACCCUUACCCUACCCUUACCCUACCCUUACCCUACCCUUACCCUACCCUUACCCUACCCUUACCCUACCCUUACCCUACCCUUACCCUACCCUUACCCUACCCUUACCCUACCCUUACCCUACCCUUACCCUACCCUUACCCUCCCACACCCCCAAACCCCGAUCCCCCGCCAGAUCCUUUGCGAGAAGGUGGCGGACCACAUUGCACGUAUGCUGCAGAUCGGCCAGCGUGAGCCACCACCCGUCACUGCGGCUGCCGGAGGAGGCGGCGGAGGAGGCGGAGGUGCCGACGGCGCCAGCCCACCUCGUAACACCCGAGAGUCCUACGUGGGGGAGCUGCGGCGGCUGGCGGGUGCGGACCCCACACUGGCUGACUUGGUUGCCCGGGGGGUGGCUUAUCACCACGCAGGUGAGGUCGGGGAGGGGAGGGGAGGGGAGGGGAGCAGGAGGGGAGGGGGCAGGAGGGGAGGGGGUAGGAGGGGAGGAUGGAUUCCCGGGAGGGGGGUCCGCCAUACCUCCUGUGUUUUUGUAUGUUUUUGUUUGGCAGGGGGUAGAUGUGGGCGAGAUCAUGGACGUGGCGGGGCCACGAGAGCAGCAUAGGAUGGGGGCGCUCACGUUACCUGGAAGUGACAAAUUGCGUGUAUACAGGGUGGUAUACAGGGUGGUAUACAGGGUGGUAUACAAAGGUAGUUCCAUGAAUUGAUCUAAAGAGCAGUAAUACCAUCCAUCCAUCCACCCAUCCGUCCAUGCAUCUAUACAUCCAUGCAUACGUUAUUGCAUGCAGGUCUGUCCAAUGAGGAGCGAGAUCUGGUAGAGGCCGCAUACAAGGCGGGAGCCAUCUCCGUGCUCACCGCCACCUCCACACUGGCAGCAGGGGUCAAUCUGCCAGCACGUAGAGUCAUAUUCAGACAUACAUACAUCGGCAAGCAGGACAACCCCAUCGACGCGACAAAGUAAGUGAGUGGCGGGGUCGACUGCGGCGGCGGGUGGCGCGCAGCUCGCUGCUGGUGGGGUAGAGGGGAAAACCAUGUAUAUGAUGGUUGAGCAAAACGGAAUGCAAGGGAGGUUUUCAAACGGUCCCGACACCUUAAUGAGCUGCAACGACUGCUGCCGCAGGGAGUCUUAACCAACGACGCCUGUCUCUUGGAAAGUAGUGAAUUAUACCAGAAAUUUGCCAAACUUCGCCGUGUAUGUAACCCCUCCUACUUCCCCUGCCGUCCCUGCGGUUCUUUCCCCUCUUUUCCUCUUUUCCUCUUCCUGCUCCUCCCCACUUGGCGGGAUGUAGGUAUCGGCAGAUGUCAGGUCGCGCGGGCCGUGCCGGUAUCGACACGGCGGGCGAGUCGUACCUCAUCUGCGAGCGCAACAAGCCGGUGGCGCCGCUGCUGGCGCUGAUGCAGCAGAAGGCCAGCGCCAUCGGGAGCUGCCUCACUGAGGCCCGAAAGGGCAUGAAGCGCGCGGUGCUGGAGGUAAGAGAAUCGCAACUGCUACUGUUGCUACUGUUGCUACUGCUGCUACUGCUGCUACUACUGCUACCACUGCUGCUGCUUUGGACUCUCCAGCAGUGGGCGCUUUGGAAGUGUCGGCACAGGUGCCUCGAUGUUUCUUUUGUAUCUGAUUUCCCUCCCCCCCAACCUCCCAACCUCCCAACCUCCCAGGUAGUGGCCUCCGGGGCAGUGAGCAGCGGCGGCGACGUGAAGCGAUUCAUCGGCUGUACACUGCUGCACGCACAGUACGGCUUCCAAGCCGUAGCCAAAGCCACCAUCGCGGCGUUGCACUGGCUCAAAGACAACGGCUUUAUACGGUAUAGUCAGGCGGGGCCCCGGGGCGGGAUGGGGCGGGGCGGGGAAGGCCGGUGAUUGGUGCUGGUGCUGGAGUGAGGCAUGAGGGCAGGGCAGGUGGAAGGCUAGCGUAAGGGAUGAUGUGGGACCUGUGAUCCUUUUCAGUUCAAAACUAGAGACAGUCAGCUGUCAAGAGAUAACCCUGCUAGCUAUAACCAGGGCGGGAGGCACGUGCUAACUAUAACCAGGGCGGGAGGCACACGUGCUAGCUAUAACAAGGGCGGGGAUUCUUCGUUUAAGACACGCACAUACAUACGUGCGCACAUACAUACGUACAUACACACGUAGAUACGGUCGUGUGCGCCGAUGGACUUGCCUUCCGGACUUGCCCACAUCGCGCCGCACACUUCGCUCCUUCCCUCUUCACACCUAACCCCUCACCACCACCACCACCACCUCUGUCCUCAACAUGAAACCCAUCCACCCCUCUUUCUCUCUCUUUCACAGUGUUGAUGAGGGCUCCCUAAACUGGGGCCCCACUCCGUUCGGCAAGGCCACGUUGGCUAGCUCCAUGCCGCCCGAGGACGCGCUGGUGGUUCGUGCGGACCUGGAGCGCGCACGCAUGUCGCUGGUGCUGGCCACCGACCUGCAUGUCACGUACCUGGUUACGCCGAUAAAGGAGGACCUGCGGGUGGACUGGCAAAUGUGAGGUACCGUCUCCGUUGGAGCCCGCUUUCAGGGUUUAGGGAGGAGAGAUCUGGAAAUGAGGCGGUGACGGAUGGGUGGUAGUUGGUCUUAGGGUUCUGCUGGUGACUUUAUUCUCGCGCCGAUCGUCACCUUGGGCUGUCUCCUUUCUCUCUCGCCCCCUCGGGGGGGGGGGUAGGGGGGUCCCGCUGCCUCACGGCCAUCCCGCUGUCCUGUUUCUCUCACUGCUACUACCGCAGCUACUUCGACUGGUUUGAGAAGCUGUCUCGAGUGGAUGCCCGAGUAGCGGAGCUGGUGGGGGUGGUGCCCGCCUACCUGGUCAAGUUGCGACAGGUAGGGGGGGGCAGCUGGGCGGGGGGCGGGGCUCGGGGGGUACUCCCACGUAGCUUGUGGGAUCUGCUGCUGCUGCUGCUGCUGCUGCUUCCGCGCCUCCCGGGAUGACACCCAUGCGCAUGUCCGCCUUCCUCCAACUCCCGCGACUCAUCGCCAACGGAUUUUGUCCUUGUGUGUACUGAUAUCAGCGGUGUGCUGCUCCUAUCUCCUCGAGACACACUGAUACUCUCUCACUCUCUCACAUACACACACACUGCACAUGCAUGCACGUGCGGCGUGUAGGGCCAUCGCGGCGCCCGUGUCGGUGGUGGCGGUGGUGCUGCUGAUGCGGAGAAGGAGCGCAUCGCCCGGCGCUUCUUCGCUGCCAUGGUGCUCAACGACCUUAUACAGGAAGUGCGUCUGGAUUUGGAUUUUAGGUUUGGAUUUUAGAUUUAGAUUUGGAUCUGGGUUGAGGUAGGACGUGUCCAAAUUGCUGACUAUUGACCGGAACAGAGCCAGCCAGCCCUACCGCAUGUAACCUAGCUAGCAUUGCCACAGGCUCACCCGUCGUAGUCCACGUGGCUUUGUUGGUCAUGUUGCUGUGUUCCCGCAUCCGUGUCCACCUCCACCACCUCCACCACCACCUCCGCAGGUGCCCCUGAAGGAGGUUGCGGAGAAGUACGGACUGGGCAAGGAGAAGGGCCCCCUGGAGGGGCUGCAGGAGCGAGCCGGUGGGUCGGCUGCAUGCCUGUAUUGUCUGCCUGUCGUUAUGUCUGUAGGUGCAGGUCUGACUCUGAGGAGGAGGUGGGACCUGAGAGGUCUUGACAGUCUCUUGCAGGUUACCCCUUCCCCCCUUCGGUUAUACCGCUUCCAGUUUCGAAAGACCCGUGGUUGUGACUCAAUACACACCGACACACACACACACACACACACACACACACACACACACACACGCACACACACACAUUGACACGCACACACACACACACAUCAAGACGUCCCGCAGGACAUGGUGCUUCGUCCCAUCCUUGCCUCUUUGCCCUCUGUAUGCCCUGUGCUCCUCCCUGUCGAUUGAUCGAGUCCCUUGUCCUGUCCUCUCCUGUCUUUUUUACAACCAACAAACCCCUCCCCUUGGUAUCAUCCCUUCGUCCCGGUUUUCACUGGGGCCGGGGCUUUCCGCCUUCGGGCCUUCUUUCCUUCCAGGUCGCUUCGCUGCCAUGGUGGCCGCUUUCUGUGAGCGGCUUGGCUGGGCAGACCUGGAGGUCAUCAUUGCCAAGUUCCAGAGCCGCGUGUGGUACGGUGUACGGCCGGAGGUGGUUGCGCUAACGGAAAUCCCGUACGUCAAGGGCCACCGCGCACGGCUGCUGUUCAAGGCGGGGCUGCGCACGCCUGAGGCGGUGGCGGGGUGCGAGCUGGAGAGGCUGAUCGAGAUUCUAUCCGCAGGUAGGGGUGAGGACAGGGUGGGGAGGAGGAGGGGCGGAAUUGGGGGAGGAGGGGUUAUGGCAUUCUCCGUUCUUCUCCGUUCUGGCUUUCCCCUCUUAAAAGAGGAAAGGUAUUAUGUAUUCUUAGUUCCCCCUUCGGUCCGCAUUGCUUCCACUCACAUUCCAGAGUUAAAGAUGAUGAAUUGCAAACCGAUUGCGCGUCACGCAUUGAUUGCCCGUUUUUCCUGUCGUCACCCUCCUUCGCCGCUGCUGGUGGUGGUGUCGGUGCUGGUGCUGGUGCUGCUGGUGCCGGUGCCGGUGCUGGACAGGAGCUCCUCGCAAUCCGGAGCACGAGGAGCAGCAGCGGCGGACGGAGCGCCGUGCCGCCCGAAUGAUC